rnacentral:rRNA from 1 species
UGGGGAAUAUUGGACAAUGGGCGCAAGCCUGAUCCAGCCAUGCCGCGUGAGUGACGAAGGUCUUCGGAUUGUAAAACUCUUUUGGCGGGGACGAUAAUGACGGUACCCGCAGAAUAAGCCCCGGCUAACUUCGUGCCAGCAGCCGCGGUAAUACGAAGGGGGCUAGCGUUGUUCGGAAUCACUGGGCGUAAAGCGCACGUAGGCGGAUGUGCCAGUCAGGGGUGAAAUCCCGGAGCUCAACUCCGGAACUGCCUCUGAUACUGCACGUCUUGAGUUCGAGAGAGGUGGGUGGAAUUCCUAGUGUAGAGGUGAAAUUCGUAGAUAUUCGGAAGAACACCAGUGGCGAAGGCGGCUCACUGGACCGUUGUUGACGCUGAGGUACGAAAGCGUGGGGAGCAAACAGGAUUAGAUACCCUAGUAGUCCCUGAGCGGGCUGGCAAGGCGCAU